GAAGGUGGCGAGCGUUGUUCGGAAUACCUGGGCUUAAAGAGCACGUAGGUGGGCUUGCAAGCGUCUUGUGAAAGCCCCCGGCUUAACCGGGGAAUUGCAGGGCGAACUGCCAGCCUUGAGGCAGGUAAGGGCGAGUGGAACUCUUGGUGGANCGGUGGAAUGCGUUAGAUAUCAAGAGGAACGCCGGAGGUGAAGACGACUCGCUGGGCCUGUCCUGACACUGAGGUGCGAAAGCCAGGGGAGCAAACGGGAUUAGAUACCCCGGUAGUCCUGGCCUUAAACGAUGUCCACUAGGUCGGAGGCCUUCUGACAGGCUUCUGGCUGCAAGAAAACCAUUAAGUGGACCGCCUGGGGAGUACGGUCGCAAGGCUAAAACUCAAAGGAAUUGACGGGGGCUCACACAAGCGGUGGAGCAUGUUGCUCAAUUCGAUGCAACGCGAAGAACCUUAUCCUGGGCUUGACAUGUUCGGAUGCCUCCCUGGAAACAGGGUUGGUUGCCCUUCGGGGUGAAACGUUCACAGGUGCUGCAUGGCUGUCGUCAGCUCGUGUCGUGAGAUGUUGGGUUAAGUCCCGUAACGAGCGAAACCCUUGUCGCUAGUUGCCAGCGAGUUAUGUCGGGGACUCUAGCGAGACUGCCGGUGUCAAACCGGAGGAAGGUGGGGAUGACGUCAAGUCCUCAUGGCCUUUAUGCCCAGGGCUGCAAACGUGCUACAAUGGCUGAUACAAACCGACGCAAGACCGUGAGGUGGAGCAAAUCGGAAAAAAACAGCCCCAGUUCGGAUUACAGUCUGCAACUCGACUGUAUGAAGUUGGAAUCGCUAGUAAUCGCAGAUCAGCAAUGCUGCGGUGAAUGUGUUCCUGAGCAUUGUACACACCGCCCGUCAAGUCAUGGAAGCCGGUAGCGCCCGAAGUCGGUGCAAAUCAGCACUGCCGAAGGUGAGAUCGCUGACUGG
rnacentral:rRNA from 1 species